rnacentral:rRNA from 1 species
AUGCCCCCCCGCAAGCGGCCCGCCGCCGUCCUCGACGCCGGUCACGCCACCACGACGACGAGUAGACAAUCGUCGGCGUCCUGCAAGAGGAGCCGCACCAGAAUCCGAAGCACCGAGGAGUACGAGGAGGAGACCCGCCUCGGCGAGGGCGGCUUCGGCUGCGUCCUCCUGGCGCGCCACCGCGACACCCGCAAGAUCGUCGCCAUCAAGUACCUCUACUGGCCGGACGGGUCCCAGCAGCCCCCCGACGCCGCCGAGCUUCUGCGGGAGGCCCGAUUCCUCGAGGCCUGCGACGGGAACCCCUACGUCGUCGGCUUCGAGGGCCUGGUGCGCGACCCCGACAACGGCGCCUUCGGCCUCGUCAUGGAGUACGUCGCCGCGCCGAGCCUCCACAAGUUCCUGCGGAACAGGCGCAGCGGCCAGCCGCUCCCGGAGUCCACCGUGCGCGCCAUCAUGUGGAAGCUCCUCACCGGUGCCAAGACGAUGCACGGCCGCCACGUCGUCCACCGCGACAUCAAGCCCGGCAACAUCCUCGUCGGCCAAGACGGGGAGCUCGUCAAAAUCUGCGACUUUGGGCUGGCGAUCUCCAUGUCCGAGCUGCCGCCGUACAACCAGGCCGGCACGCCGUUCUACGUGGCGCCCGAGGUGCUCCUGGGGAAGCGGGACUACGACGCGCUCGUGGACACGUGGUCUAUCGGCUGCGUCAUGGCCGAGAUGCUCACCGGUAAGACGCUGUUCCUCGGCGAUGAUGACGACGACGCCGCAGACAAUGAGAUCGUCCAGCUCUGGAGCAUCUUCCGCUUGCUCGGGACGCCGGACGAGAGGACGUGGCCGGAGUUCACGUCGCUGCCGCUCACCGCAAAGGCGCUGAAACUGCUACCGCGGGGGCACAAGCACGACAAGCUGCGGGAACUGUUCCCUCAAGAGAAGCUGUCCGAGCAUGGGUUCCAGGUGUUGCAAGGCCUUCUCACGUGCAACCCCAACCAGCGACUGACGGCGGCCACGGCGCUCAAGCACCGAUGGUUUGCUGCUCCUCGUACAGCCGCCGCCGCUCCAAAGGUCGAAAAGAAGGCACCAAGGACCAAGUUCAUCCCGCCGGCCAUGCCGCAGAAGAAUCUACUCAAAAUUCCACUCGCCGUGUGGAACGCAGCACAACAAGUGUAG